AGUCAUUGAAGCAAUUGCAAUUUUUCACAACAUCGAAAAGAGUCAAAUAAGAGCUUGUAAAGCAAAUCCACAUACUCAAUCAUCCUUUUGUCUUCUACAAAUGCUACAACUCACGUGGUACUCAUGAGAUCAAAGUCUCAGUCGGACAUAGAGAAAGAUAAGGGCUUAUAGUUUCGCCUCCCAACUGCUUACCUCAAGGGUAAUGUCAACAAUAGUAAUUCAUGAAUACUUACUUCCAAAUUGACAUAUGAAUAUAGAUAUUUCCCUAGCAUAUGACGUUAGCCAA
rnacentral:lncRNA from 1 species